rnacentral:rRNA from 1 species
CAACAGAGGGAGGCAAAGCCGCGAGGCAGAGCAAACCCCGAAAAAGCCGUCCCAGUUCGGAUCGCAGGCUGCAACCCGCCUGCGUGAAGUCGGAAUCGCUAGUAAUCGCGGAUCAGCAUGCCGCGGUGAAUACGUUCCCGGGCCUUGUACACACCGCCCGUCACACCAUGAGAGUCGGGAACACCCGAAGCCCGUAGCCUAACUUUAACGAGAGGGCGCGGUCGAAGGUGGGUUCGAUAAUUGGGGUGAAGUCGUAACAAGGUAGC